rnacentral:rRNA from 1 species
GAUGAACGCUGGCGGCGUGCCUAAUACAUGCAAGUCGAGCGAACAGACGAGGAGCUUGCUCCUCUGACGUUAGCGGCGGACGGGUGAGUAACACGUGGAUAACCUACCUAUAAGACUGGGAUAACUUCGGGAAACCGGAGCUAAUACCGGAUAAUAUAUUGAACCGCAUGGUUCAAUAGUGAAAGACGGUUUUGCUGUCACUUAUAGAUGGAUCCGCGCCGCAUUAGCUAGUUGGUAAGGUAACGGCCUACCAAGGCAACGAUGCGUAGCCGACCUGUGAGGGUGGUCGGCCACACUGGAACGGAGACACGGUCCAGACUCCUACGGGAGGCAGCAGUAGGGAAUCUUCCGCAAUAGGCGAGAGCCUGACGGAGCAACGCCGCGUGAGUGAUGACGGUCUUCGGAUCGUAAAACUCUGUUAUUAGGGAAGAACAAAUGUGUAAGUAACUAUGCACGUAUUGACGGUACCGAAUCAGAAAGCCACGGCUAACUACGUG